AUGCCGUUUGGUUUAUUUGUGGGUGUGAACAAUCAUUUUCAUAGCACAAUCAUGGCUGGAGUUUUGGUGCGACGAAGUGAAACAGUUGAAACAUUUGAUUGGGUUUUCUCGGAAUUCAUUAGGAUAAUGGGUGGUAAGGCACCGCAAACAAUCUUGAUAGAUCAGAACAGGGCUAUGGAGGUGGCCAUAAGGAAUGUGAUGCCCGGCACAGCUCACCGAUGGCGCAAGUGGCAUGUGUUAAAGAAGAUAAGGCAUAAGUGGGCGAAGCCAUACUUCAAAGGCGUGUUAUGUGCAAAGAUGACUAGCACUCAACGGAGUGAAAGUGCUAACCACAUGUUAAAGAACUAUGUGUACAAUGCAUAUAUUUGUUAG
rnacentral:rRNA from 1 species